rnacentral:rRNA from 2 species
UUAAGCGACUAAGCGUACACGGUGGAUGCCCUGGCAGUCAGAGGCGAUGAAGGACGUGCUAAUCUGCGAUAAGCGUCGGUAAGGUGAUAUGAACCGUUAUAACCGGCGAUUUCCGAAUGGGGAAACCCAGUGUGAUUCGUCACACUAUCAUUAACUGAAUCCAUAGGUUAAUGAGGCGAACCGGGGGAACUGAAACAUCUAAGUACCCCGAGGAAAAGAAAUCAACCGAGAUUCCCCCAGUAGCGGCGAGCGAACGGGGAGCAGCCCAGAGCCUGAAUCAGUGUGUGUGUUAGUGGAAGCGUCUGGAAAGGCGCGCGAUACAGGGUGACAGCCCCGUACACAAAAAUGCACAUACUGUGAGCUCGAUGAGUAGGGCGGGACACGUGGUAUCCUGUCUGAAUAUGGGGGGACCAUCCUCCAAGGCUAAAUACUCCUGACUGACCGAUAGUGAACCAGUACCGUGAGGGAAAGGCGAAAAGAACCCCGGCGAGGGGAGUGAAAAAGAACCUGAAACCGUGUACGUACAAGCAGUGGGAGCCUCUUAAUGGGGUGACUGCGUACCUUUUGUAUAAUGGGUCAGCGACUUAUAUUCUGUAGCAAGGUUAACCGAAUAGGGGAGCCGAAGGGAAACCGAGUCUUAACUGGGCGUUAAGUUGCAGGGUAUAGACCCGAAACCCGGUGAUCUAGCCAUGGGCAGGUUGAAGGUUGGGUAACACUAACUGGAGGACCGAACCGACUAAUGUUGAAAAAUUAGCGGAUGACUUGUGGCUGGGGGUGAAAGGCCAAUCAAACCGGGAGAUAGCUGGUUCUCCCCGAAAGCUAUUUAGGUAGCGCCUCGUGAAUUCAUCUCCGGGGGUAGAGCACUGUUUCGGCAAGGGGGUCAUCCCGACUUACCAACCCGAUGCAAACUGCGAAUACCGGAGAAUGUUAUCACGGGAGACACACGGCGGGUGCUAACGUCCGUCGUGAAGAGGGAAACAACCCAGACCGCCAGCUAAGGUCCCAAAGUCAUGGUUAAGUGGGAAACGAUGUGGGAAGGCCCAGACAGCCAGGAUGUUGGCUUAGAAGCAGCCAUCAUUUAAAGAAAGCGUAAUAGCUCACUGGUCGAGUCGGCCUGCGCGGAAGAUGUAACGGGGCUAAACCAUGCACCGAAGCUGCGGCAGCGACGCUUAUGCGUUGUUGGGUAGGGGAGCGUUCUGUAAGCCUGCGAAGGUGUGCUGUGAGGCAUGCUGGAGGUAUCAGAAGUGCGAAUGCUGACAUAAGUAACGAUAAAGCGGGUGAAAAGCCCGCUCGCCGGAAGACCAAGGGUUCCUGUCCAACGUUAAUCGGGGCAGGGUGAGUCGACCCCUAAGGCGAGGCCGAAAGGCGUAGUCGAUGGGAAACAGGUUAAUAUUCCUGUACUUGGUGUUACUGCGAAGGGGGGACGGAGAAGGCUAUGUUGGCCGGGCGACGGUUGUCCCGGUUUAAGCGUGUAGGCUGGUUUUCCAGGCAAAUCCGGAAAAUCAAGGCUGAGGCGUGAUGACGAGGCACUACGGUGCUGAAGCAACAAAUGCCCUGCUUCCAGGAAAAGCCUCUAAGCAUCAGGUAACAUCAAAUCGUACCCCAAACCGACACAGGUGGUCAGGUAGAGAAUACCAAGGCGCUUGAGAGAACUCGGGUGAAGGAACUAGGCAAAAUGGUGCCGUAACUUCGGGAGAAGGCACGCUGAUAUGUAGGUGAAGUCCCUCGCGGAUGGAGCUGAAAUCAGUCGAAGAUACCAGCUGGCUGCAACUGUUUAUUAAAAACACAGCACUGUGCAAACACGAAAGUGGACGUAUACGGUGUGACGCCUGCCCGGUGCCGGAAGGUUAAUUGAUGGGGUUAGCGGUAACGCGAAGCUCUUGAUCGAAGCCCCGGUAAACGGCGGCCGUAACUAUAACGGUCCUAAGGUAGCGAAAUUCCUUGUCGGGUAAGUUCCGACCUGCAC